rnacentral:rRNA from 1 species
UUAACACAUGCAAGUCGAGGGGCAGCAUUUUAGUUUGCUUGCAAACUGAAGAUGGCGACCGGCGCACGGGUGAGUAACACGUAUCCAACCUGCCGAUAACUCCGGGAUAGCCUUUCGAAAGAAAGAUUAAUACCGGAUAGCAUACGAAUAUCGCAUGAUAUUUUUAUUAAAGAAUUUCGGUUAUCGAUGGGGAUGCGUUCCAUUAGUUUGUUGGCGGGGUAACGGCCCACCAAGACUACGAUGGAUAGGGGUUCUGAGAGGAAGGUCCCCCACAUUGGAACUGAGACACGGUCCAAACUCCUACGGGAGGCAGCAGUGAGGAAUAUUGGUCAAUGGGCGAGAGCCUGAACCAGCCAAGUAGCGUGAAGGAUGAAGGCUCUAUGGGUCGUAAACUUCUUUUAUAUGGGAAUAAAGUUUUCCACGUGUGGAAUUUUGUAUGUACCAUAUGAAUAAGGAUCGGCUAACUCCGUGCCAGCAGCCGCGGUAAUACGGAGGAUCCGAGCGUUAUCCGGAUUUAUUGGGUUUAAAGGGAGCGUAGGUGGAUUGUUAAGUCAGUUGUGAAAGUUUGCGGCUCAACCGUAAAAUUGCAGUUGAAACUGGCAGUCUUGAGUACAGUAGAGGUGGGCGGAAUUCGUGGUGUAGCGGUGAAAUGCUUAGAUAUCACGAAGAACUCCGAUUGCGAAGGCAGCUCACUAGACUGUCACUGACACUGAUGCUCGAAAGUGUGGGUAUCAAACAGGAUUAGAUACCCUGGUAGUCCACACAGUAAACGAUGAAUACUCGCUGUUUGCGAUAUACAGUAAGCGGCCAAGCGAAAGCAUUAAGUAUUCCACCUGGGGAGUACGCCGGCAACGGUGAAACUCAAAGGAAUUGACGGGGGCCCGCACAAGCGGAGGAACAUGUGGUUUAAUUCGAUGAUACGCGAGGAACCUUACCCGGGCUUAAAUUGCAACAGAAUAUAUUGGAAACAGUAUAGCCGUAAGGCUGUUGUGAAGGUGCUGCAUGGUUGUCGUCAGCUCGUGCCGUGAGGUGUCGGCUUAAGUGCCAUAACGAGCGCAACCCUUAUCUUUAGUUACUAACAGGUUAUGCUGAGGACUCUAGAGAGACUGCCGUCGUAAGAUGUGAGGAAGGUGGGGAUGACGUCAAAUCAGCACGGCCCUUACGUCCGGGGCUACACACGUGUUACAAUGGGGGGUACAGAAGGCGGCUACCUGGUGACAGGAUGCUAAUCCCAAAAACCUCUCUCAGUUCGGAUCGAAGUCUGCAACCCGACUUCGUGAAGCUGGAUUCGCUAGUAAUCGCGCAUCAGCCAUGGCGCGGUGAAUACGUUCCCGGGCCUUGUACACACCGCCCGUCAAGCCAUGAAAGCCGGGGGUACCUGAAGUACGUAACCGCAAGGAGCGUCCUAGGGUAAAACUGGUAAUUGGGGCUAAGU